rnacentral:rRNA from 1 species
CCCUAGAGGAGCCUGUUCCAUAAUCGAUAAACCCCGAUCCACCUCACCCUCCCUUGCUUAGCCUAUAUACCGCCAUCUUCAGCAAACCCUGAUAAAGGUUACAAAGUGAGCACAAACGCCCUACCGCCGCAAAAACGUUAGGUCAAGGUGUAGCCCAUGAGAGGGUAAAAAUGGGCUACAUUUUCUACAUCAGAAAACUCCACGAAAACUCUCAUGAAAUCUGAGGGUCCAAGGAGGAUUUAGCAGUAAAUUAAGAAUAGAGUGCUUAAUUGAACCAGGCCAUAAAGCGCGUACACACCGCCCGUCACUCCCCUCAAAUAUAUUUAAGGAACACCUUAACUAAACGCCCUAAUAUCUAUAUAGAGGGGAUAAGUCGUAACAUGGUAAGUGUACUGGAAGGUGCACUUGGAC